UUCGAGUUCAAUUGUGAAAUUCAUGAAAACUUCUUUCUAUCAAUCACUUUGCUAUUGUCAUAGAUUUAAGGACUCAGUUUCUUAAAUACAACGACCCAUAUGGCUAGGGACUAUGUUUAUGUGUAGUCAAACUAUAGCAACUCCAUUGUGAGCAACCGAGGCACCGUAGGUUAAGGAACCACUCACACUACUAUAGCAUCGAGGUGAUCACUGAUAAGUGAGUAGACAUCCAUGUGAUCUCUCGUUUGGUCAUGCUCAAUACUGAUGUUCUCUAAUAACCACCCGCACUCUUGCUUAGUAUUCUCACACUAUAGAUUAAAAACUCAUCUACCCCAAAGAAAGCGAUG
rnacentral:lncRNA from 1 species